UACGUAGGGGGCUAGCGUUGUCCGGAAUCAUUGGGCGUAAAGCGCGUGUAGGCGGUCCGGUAAGUCCGCUGUGAAAGUCGGGGGCUCAACCCUCGGAUGCCGGUGGAUACUGUCGGGCUUGAGUACGGAAGAGGCGAGUGGAAUUCCUGGUGUAGCGGUGAAAUGCGCAGAUAUCAGGAGGAACACCAAUUGCGAAGGCAGCUCGCUGGGACGUUACUGACGCUGAGGCACGAAGGCCAGGGGAGCGAACGGG
rnacentral:rRNA from 1 species